ensembl:lncRNA novel transcript
CUUCCUAAUGCAUCGCCUCAGCCAUGAACAACGCGGAGUUCUUUAAUACCCGUGAGCAGCAGCCCAGGCCCCUUGAAGAGUGCAGACUCCCACCUGGCCUGGGCGUCUGGCUCCGCAGCAGAACACGAAGUUUGCAUUCCCCAAGGGGCGGCCAGGGGGCGGACCAGGGAAAGUCCGCCCCAGGUCAGCGACUUACAACUCUUCAUUCUGAAGUGCGUGUAGUGCCCUUGUCUCCAGAGACGCAGAGAGUCCUCGAGGCCCCUUGAGCUAAGUGCAGCCUGGCCCAGUUUCUCCUGCCCUACUCUACUCCCCUCCCUAUAAGCGACCCACCCUCAAGGGGCGGAGGGCGCGUAGGGAUGCGCUGACUCAUGCCCGCGUAAUUUCGACCAGUCUUUCAACCUGAACGACCCCCAGAAUCUGGCUGUCUGAGUUAUCUGUGGGUGGCUCCCUACCGAAACCCCCAGGCGCCCCACCUCUCCGCCUGUGACCCCUA